CAGAUGGUUUGGGUGGAUGAAUGGUUGGCAAAGGACCCUCUUCCAGGUGGGAACAGCUGUUCUUAUAAUGAUCAUCAUCUUCUUAUUUUUAACCUGUUGCAUACUCCCUUGCAUACAGAAGUACUUACAGAAAGCGGUAGAUAAGACUGUAGAUGACGUAACCCCUACUUUCCUACAUCAAGAUAUCACAGACCUUGAAGAUGACACUCCACAUACACCCCUACAAUCACAUCAGUUCAAACAGACGACUGCUUUCCUGUAGGGAUAGUGUAGGGAAAGCGUCUGUCUUAACAGGUGAGUCUCACGUGUGGAGAUGUGGUGGACUAGCCACUGCGGGUUACCCGCGGAGUGAAGUGUUCGAUGCUUGUUAAGACAGAUAGGUUGCAGGCAACUAGGGACAUAUUAGGGACAGUAGCAGUUGUUAUGGUAAAUAGCCAUUUUAGGGGGGACUGUUGUGGAAAUAAG